rnacentral:rRNA from 1 species
UACGUAGGGUGCGAGCGUUAAUCGGAAUUACUGGGCGUAAAGCGUGCGCAGGCGGUUCGUUGUGUCGGUGGUGAAAUCCCCGGGCUUAACCUGGGAAUGGCCAUGGAAACUGGCGAACUGGAGUGUGGCAGAGGGGGGUGGAAUUCCGCGUGUAGCAGUGAAAUGCGUAGAGAUGCGGAGGAACACCGAUGGCGAAGGCAGCCCCCUGGGCUAGCACUGACGCUCAGGCACGAAAGCGUGGGGGGCAAACAGG